rnacentral:rRNA from 1 species
UGGCUGGCAAAUCCGCCUGGCAAGCCAAAGACGUGAUGUGGAGCGAAAUAAAAGUAGCGAAGUAUGUGAGCCAUGUGCCGAGAAAAGCCGCUAUUGUUUUAUAUGUGCCCGUACCGUAAACCGACACAGGUGGAUGAGGAGAGAAUCCUAAGGCCGACGGAAGAAGCAUUGUUAAGGAACUCGGCAAAAUGACCCCGUAACUUCGGGAGAAGGGGUGCCCACUUCAGGGUGGGCCGCAGAGAAUAGGCUCAAGCAACUGUUUAGCAAAAACACAGGUCUAUGCGAAACCGUAAGGUGAAGUAUAUGGGCUGACGCCUGCCCGGUGCUGGAAGGUUAAGAGGAGAGGUUAGUCGCAAGAUGAAGCUUUGAAUUUAAGCCCCAGUAAACGGCGGCCGUAACGAUAACGGUCCUAAGGUAGCGAAAUUCCUUGUCGGGUAAGUUCCGACCCGCACGAAAGGCGUAAUGAUUUGAGCACUGUCUCGACAAUGCAUCCGGUGAAAUUGAAGUACCAGUGAAGAUGCUGGUUACCCGCGCCAGGACGGAAAGACCCCAUGGAGCUUUACUCCAGUUUGGUACUGGGAUUCGGUACUGCAUGUACAGGAUAGGUGGGAGACUGAGAAAUUGGAACGCCAGUUUCAAUGGAGUCACUGUUGGGAUACCACCCCUGCAGUAUUGGGUUUCUAACCAGCCGCUGUGAUCCAGCGGUGGGACAAUGCCAGGCGGGGAGUUUGACUGGGGCGGUCGCCUCCGAAAGGGUAUCGGAGGCGCUCAAAGGUUCCCUCAGAAUGGUCGGAAACCAUUUUAAGAGUGCAAAGGCAGAAGGGAGCUUGACUGCGACACCGACGGGUGGAGCAGGUACGAAAGUAGGACUUAGUGAUCCGGUGGCAUAAAGUGGGAUUGCCAUCGCUCAACGGAUAAAAGCUACCCUGGGAUAACAGGCUUAUCACUCCCAAGAGUUCACAUCGACGGAGUGGUUUGGCACCUCGAUGUCGGCUCAUCGCAUCCUGGGGCUGUAGCAGGUCCCAAGGGUUGGGCUGUUCGCCCAUUAAAGCGGUACGCGAGCUGGGUUCAGAACGUCGUGAGACAGUUCGGUCCCUAUCCGGCGCGGGCGGAGGAUAUUUGAGAGGAGCUGUCCUUAGUACGAGAGGACCGGGAUGGACGGACCACUGGUGUAUCUGCUGUCGACCAACGGCAUGGCAGAGUAGCCAAGUCCGGAAGGGAUAAACGCUGAAGGCAUCUAAGCGUGAAGCCCCCCUCAAGAUGAGAUAUCCCUCACAUAAGUGAGUAAGAUCCCUUGAAGAGUACAAGGUAGAUAGGGCAGAGGUGGAAGCAUGGUAACAUGUGGAGCUGACUGUUACUAAUCGAUCGAGGGCUUGACCU